CACUGCCUUCCACAUGGGGAUCCCUAUCCCCUGGAUCCGACUCCAGGAGGCCACUGCUCGGUACCUGCUCAACGCGUGGGGACACAACAGGAGCAGAGAGGAGUGAGAAGAGCCACCAACAGGAAAGGGGCCUGGAAGGGAGGAGUCAGUUCCUGAUGGAUUUCAGCCCCAUGUGACAACACCCUAUUCCCUUCUCUGAAUUUGGCCCAGAACCAACCCAUCGGUGACAACAGAGGGGGUUAUGCUGUGGUUAAAUAUAGGAUAUAUUUAUAUAUCCUAUAAAUACGGGCUAUUUAUAAAUACAGGAUAGGCAAGGCAUCUGUAGGAGUUGUUUCUCACCUGUCGAUGCUGAGAGCACAAAGGCUGAGCACCGUGAUGCCCACCGAUGCCUUCUGGAUGAAGGGGACCAGCUUGCACACCUGCACACCGAAAGGCCAAUCCUUGGCCAAGAGCUGGAGAAGAACCACAGGGUUAACAGGGAAAGUGCCUCCGGCUUCCCGUAAUGGCAGGUGGUUGCCCACAAGGUGCAAGAAGCCCACAAGGAGCAGCUGAAAGCACUCUGAGGUUACCUCCACCGGGGCUGUGCGGUGUGCGCUCCCGGUGCUUUGCGUGGUGCUGGGAACCACUCCUUUCCCCAGGGGCUCGUGGUUGACACCUACGUGGAGGGAUGGUCCAGGCAACAGGUCCUGAACCCACACCCUGGGUGUUUUUGGGUGGACUGGAAUCCGAAAAACCACAAUGGGCUUUGGGUCGCUUUUGGGGGGUGUCGUGCUCCGAGCAGCCAGAGUCCAACAAGGAGAGCUUGUUUCAGAGCCAUGUAGGCUCAUGUCCUCACCGUGCUCUGCCCUUCUGCCAUGCCUUUGUGCAAACCCUCCUCCAAACUUUUGUGCAGUAUUAUUUGAAACUAAUGAUGUUUGGUUGCUUGAGACCAAAGGAAAGAAAGGUAAAGCCAAGAGCUCGCGUUAACAUGAACCAUCCCAUAGGUGAAGCCUCCGGUAUAAGCCAUGAGCAUGAAGAGCUGUGCCCCCCGGUUCUUGCCUGUCUUGGAUGCAGGGCUGGGUAUUCAGCCUGUGACACCUUCCUCAGGGGGGUCAUUCCUGCAGCCUCCAUCUGCUCCCACACCUUUUUAUGAAGCACAGGACCUUCCUACAGCACAGGCUUAUGAAAUAUGGCAAACAGAUCCGAAAGGGGAGGACCAUUAGACUUUACUGCCAGUCCUGUUGAAUAAAUCAGCUAUAUAACAGCUCUGUAUCCAACAUAUUGUGUAAAGCCAGCUGUAUAAAUCAAGCUGAGAUCCACGUCCUUCACCCCAUGGCAUCCCUCCAAGACCCGACCCACCAAAAUUUAACAUGGUAGGCGAGAAGGAGCCGCACAAGCCCCAGCACAUCUCGCACCACACGACUUCUGCUCCUAACGGGGGUCUGAGCCCCGCAGCCCACCUAUGCCCACCCCUCUCUGCCCCACUGCAGCGGGCAGAGCUCGGGUUCCUCUGCUUCUUCGUCACAUCUCUUCCCUCUAGCGUGGGGAGCAAUGUCUGAAAGAAGCCCCCUGUUUUGUAGGACAGCCCUGUUCCUUGUUCCUGGGUGAGUCUUUCUGCUUAGCUGGAAUAAAGCAGAUGUUUGCCUGAGGCUGGUUUGUGAGCUGUGCUGGGAGUGGUGUGCCUAGCGCACGAGAACAGCGGGUUUUGCUCGACUGAAAUAAACUUUGGGUUGUAAUGUC